UAAAACACUCCGAUUUCUCCAAAGCCACUCCUUCCGAAAAGCCCAGAGUGCUCUGAUUGUCCAGCUGACCUGUUGCAUUGUGAUUGGCCAAAAACCUCAAGCAUGUGUCGGAAAUGUAACACCCCUUGGGUUAGCUCCAGUCUCCAAAGCUUCUAAAGCAAUCCUAAGCUCCUAAGCAACAUGUUUAAUUUUAUCAUAUCAGUUUGAGCCGUCCGAUUCAGAAAAUGUGGGUGAUCACGCGGAACCAACUUUGCAAACAUGACUUGUGCAGAGCAUUUCAGUGGCUUGGGCUCAGCACUGAGAGUGCAUUGGCUCAUGCAACCCUCCAGUGGCUGACCGGAAAUUAAACCUGGGCCAGCCACUAGUCUACCAGGGAACCUGUGCACAUACAAUUUAAAAGAAUAAAAGGUGAUAUUUAUAAAACACAGACAGACAAUCCAAAACAUGAUGCAAAGUCGAGAUCAGAAACAGAGCAGAGAUUCAGGUGAACAGCAAACCACGUACAACAGGCAAAAUCCA
ensembl:lncRNA